rnacentral:rRNA from 1 species
UCAGUUUUGUUUUGUUUUGUUUUGUUUUGUGUUGUGUUGUGUUGUUUUGUUUUGUUUUGUUUUGUUUUGUUUUGUUUUGUUUUGUUUUGUUUUGUUUUGUUUUGUGUUGGGUUGGGUUGUGUUGGGUUGUGUUGGGUUGUGUUGGGUUGUGUUGGGUUGUGUUGGGUUGUUUUGUUUGGGGUUGUUUUGUUUGGUGUUGUUUGGUUUUGUUUUGUUUUGUUUGCUGUUGUUUUGUGUUUUGCGGGUCGAACAGUUGUCCCUAACCGAGUUUUUUUGUACACAAACAUGCACUUUUUUUUAAAUAAAUUUUUAAAAUAAAUGCGAAAAUCGACCAAUUAUCCCUUUUCUUCUCUCUCUUUUUUUAAAAAUUUUUCUUUGUGUGUGUGUGUGUGUGUGUGUGUGUGUGUGCGUGUGUGUGUGUGUGCGUGCACGCGUGCGCGCGUGCGCGCGCUCGUUUUAUAAAUACUUAUAAUAAUAGGUCGCCGGGUGGUGGUAGCUGUAAUUCCAGCACUCCAGAGGCAGAGGCAGGCGGACUUCUGAGUUCGAGGCCAGCCUGGUCUACAGAGGAACCCUGUCUCGAAAAAUGAAAAUAAAUACAUACAUACAUACAUACAUACAUACAUACAUAUGAGGUUGACCAGUUGUCAAUCCUUUAGAAUUUUGUUUUUAAUUAAUGUGAUAGAGAGAUAGAUAAUAGAUAGAUGGAUAGAGUGAUACAAAUAUAGGUUUUUUUUUUUCAGUAAAUAUGAGGUUGAUUAACCACUUUUCCCUUUUUUAGGUUUUUUUUUUUUUUUUUUCCCCUGUCCAUGUGGUUGCUGGGAUUUGAACUCAGGACCCUGGCAGGUCAACUGGCAAAACGUGUUUUCUAUAUAUAUAAAUAGUGGUCUGUCUGCUGUUUGUUUGUUUGUUUGCUUGCUUGCUUGCUUGCUUGCUUGCUUGCUUUUUUUUUUUUUUUUCUUCUGAGACAGUAUUUCUCUGUGUAACCUUGGCUGCCCUGAAACUCACUCUGUAGACCAGCCUGGCCUCAAUCGAACUCAGAAAUCCUCCUGCCUCUGUCUACCUCCCAAAGGUGUGCUACACCACUGCCUGGCAUUAUUAUCAUUAUCAUUAUUAAUUUUAUUAUUAGACAGAACGAAAUCAACUAGUUGGUCCUGUUUCGUCUAUUCAUUUGAAAUUAGUUGGACCAAUUAGUUGGCUGGUUUGGGAGGUUUCUUUUGUUUCCGAUUUGGGUGUUUGUGGGGCUGGGGAUCAGGUAUCUCAACGGAAUGCAUGAAGGUUAAGGUGAGAUGGCUCGAUUUUUGUAAAGAUUACUUUUCUUAGUCUGAGGAAAAAAUAAAAUAUUGGGCUACGUUUCAUUGCUUCAUUUCUAUUUCUCUUUCUUUCUUUCAGAUAAGGAGGUCGGCCAGUUCCUCCUGCCUUCUGGAAGAUGUAGGCAUUGCAUUGGGAAGCAUUGUUUGAGAGAUGUGCUAGUGAACCAGAGAGUUUGGAUGUCAAGCUGUAUAAUGUUUCUUCAAAAAAAGUUCUAACAAAGGGAUCUUUAACUUUUUUUUUCUCCUUCUACUUUUCCUUGUAGGCUAUCAGCCUUUGUAUAAUGAAAUGUGAGCUUUGCUUUGUUUUGUUGUUUUUCUUUUGGUUUUGCUUGACAUGGUUUCCCUUUCUAUCCGUGCAGGGUUCCCAGACUGCCCUUUGAGAAUAAAAUGGGAGGCCACAACCAAAGUCUUUUGGAUAAAGCACCACAAUGGACAAUGUAAGGAAGGCAGCCAAACGCUUACGCUUCCCAAGGCACAGAUCUUUCCCAGCAUGGGAAAGAUCCUCCCUCCCCUUCCCUCCCUCCCUCCCUCCCUCCCUCCCUCCCUCCCUCCCUCCCUCCCUCCCUCCCUCCUUCCACCAUACACUCAAUAAAAUAAAAUAAAAUAAAAUAAGAUAAGAUAAAAUAAAAUAAAAUAAAUGAAUGAACGAAUGAAUGACGUUUCCAGUUAUUUAUUGGUCUAAACUACCUAAAUUCCCCUUUUACACCUCCCCCUACUGCCCCCAUGCCGCCAUCUCCUUGUGGGGGUAGGGCCAGGCACAUCUGUGUCUUACUCUCUGAACUAUUUGUUUUCUGGUCCACAUCGCUCCAGUGCAAUGUAGCCCUUUGGAAAUGGUAAUGCUAACACACCCCACCAGAAAUGGUAAUGCUAACACACCCUACCAGAAAGAGGAAGGCUCCACUCACUCACUCACUCACUCACUCACUCACUCACUCACUCUUAACCAGCCCUGCCCUGCUAUUUCAAGGAUUUCUAAGGACAGAAUAUUCUGGACAGUAUUUACAUGGCUUGAUAUCUCUAAAUUUUGGUUUUGGUUUUGGUGGUUUUUUGUUUUUUUGUUUUUGUUUUUCCUUCCAGACAGGGUUUCUCUGUGUAGCCCUGGCUGUCCUGUACUCUGUGUAGACCAGGCUGUCCUCAAACUCAGAAAUCCAUCUGCCUCUGCCUCCCAAGUGCUGGAAUUAAAAGUGUGUGUCCACCCACCACUGCCUGGCUCUACUUUUUUUAAACAUUAUGUAUGUAUUAUGUAUGUAUGUAUGUAUGCAUGCAUGCAUGCAUGCAUGCAUUUUUUUUAAGAUUUAUUUAUUUAUUAUAUGUAAGUACACUGUAGCUGUCUUCAGACACUCCAGAAGAGGGAAUCAGAUCUUGUUACACAUGGUUGUGAGCCACCAUGUGGUUGCUGGGAUUUGAACUUCAGACCUUCGGAGAGCAGUCAGGUGCUCUUACCCACUGAGCCAUCUCACCAGCCCGUAUGCAUGCAUUAUUAUGCAUGAAACUACACUGCAGCUGUCUUCAGACACACACCAGAAGAAUACAUGGGAUCCCACGGCAGAUGGUUGUUGGCAAUUGAACUCAGGACCUCUGGAAGAGAGGUCAGUGCUGAGCCAUCUCUCAAAAUAAAACUUGUGGAGAAAUUGAGCAUCUUAAAACCCUAGGCAUCCUUCCUCCCUCUCUCCACGUGGCCAUGAUGACCACCCUCUUUCUACCUUCUCUCUUUCCCUCUGCCUUAAAGCUGUAAAACCACAAAACAACAGCAACAACAACCCCUAGCCAUCUGUGUUUGUUUGUUUGUUUGUUUAUGUGUCUAUAUUUAUUUAUUUACUUACUUACAUUUAUUUAUUUAUUUAUUUUUAUUUAUUCAUCUGUAUUUAUUUAUUUAUUUACUUACUUACUUACUUACUUACUUACUUGUUCUAACACCACCCAGGUGUGGUGGUGCAUGCCUUUGCUCCCAACACUUGGGAGGCAGAGGCAAAAAAAACAAAACAAAACAAAACAAAACAACAACAACAACAACAACAACAACAACAUCAAACAAAGUUUGGGUCUUAAUGAAGUAAGCAAGGCACAGGACUUGAUGAAUUUGUACGAAUUACCCCUUCAGAGUUUACCGGAGGCUUAAAGGACUGAGUGUCUGGGACUGCCAUACAUAUACAUGUAUAUGUAUAUAUAUAUUUUUUCUUUUUUUCUUUCUGAGCUGAGCCAUUUCUCUCACCAACCUGGGUCCCUCUUUCUUUCUUUCUUUCUUUCUUUCUUUCUUUCUUUCUUUCUUUCUUUCUUCCUUCCUUCCUUCCUUCCUUCCUUCCUUCCUUCCUUCCUUCCUUUCUUUCUUUCUUUCUUUCUUUCUUUCUUUCUUUCUUUCUUUCUUUCUUUCCUUCUUUCUUUCUCUCUUCCUUCACCCUGGGGUCAAUCCAAAACACAGACUGUUUUGAGGUAAACUUAAUAAACCUCUAGCUUCUCUCUGGCUCUCUUGCUUCUUUCUCUCUUGCCCUCUUGGGUGCUUCUCUUUCCCAUUUCCUUCCUCUGCUCUCCAGGUGCUCCUGUCCAGCCUCUAUUUAUCUACUUCUCUACUCUCUCUGCCUCUACUAAAAGUGAAGAAGAAGAAGAAGAAGAAGAAGAAGAAGAAGAAGAAGAAGAAGAAGAAGAAGAAGAAGAGGAGGAGGAGGAGGAGGAGGAGGAGGAGGAGGAAGAGGAGGAGGGGGAGGAGGAGGAAGAGGAGGUUGAUGAUCUGACUUUUCUCUUAACUGGCAGGUCAACUGGCAAAAUGGGUUUUCUUUUAUAUAUAUAAUAUAUAUAAUAUAUAUAUAAUUAAAUAUAUAUAUAUAUAUAUAUAUAUAUUUUAAAGAGUAACUUGUAAAUAGUGGUUUGUCUGCUGUUUGUUUGUUUGUUUGUUUGCUUGCUUGAUUUCUUGCUUGCUUUUUUUCUUUUUUCUGAGACAGUGUUUCUCUGUGUAGCCUUGGCUGCCCUGGAACUCACUCUGUAGACAAGCCUGGCCUCAAUCGAAUUCAGAAAUCCUCCUGCCUCUGUCUGCCUCCUAAUUGCUGGGAGUUAUUAUUAUUAUUAUUAUUAUUAUUAUUAUUAUUAUUAUUAUAUCAACUAGUUGGCCCUGUUUCAUUUAUUCAUUUGAAAUUAGUUGCCUGGUUUGGGAGGUUUCUUUCUUUUUUUUUUUUUUUAAAGACUUAUUUAUUUAUUAUAUGUAAGUACACUGUAGCUGUCUUCAGACACUCCAGAAGAGGGAGUCAGAUCUUGUUACGGAUGGUUGUGAGCCACCAUGUGGUUGCUGGGAUUUGAACUCUGGACCAUCGGAAGAGCAGUCGGGUGCUCUAACCCACUGAGCCAUCUCACCAGCCCGGGAGGUUUCUUUUGUUUUAGAUUUGGGUGUUUGUGGAGCUGGGGAUCAGGUAUCUCUCUCUCUCUCUCUCUCUCUCUCUCUCUCUCUCUCUCUCUCUCUCUCUCUCUCUCUCUCAUAUCUCAAUGAAAUGCAUGAAGGUUACAGUGAGAUGGCUAUAUUUUUUAAAGAUUACUUUUCUUAGUCUGAGGAAAAAAUAAAAUAUUGGGCUACCUUUCAUUGCUUCAUUUCUAUUUCUCUUUUUUUUCUUUCAGAUCAGGAGGUCCGCUAGUUCCUCCUGUCUUCUGUUUUUCAUAACCCACGCACACAAGCAUGCUCCAUCCACAGUGGGGAAAAAUCAUGGGGGAAGACGGUAGACAUUGCAUUGGGAAGAUGUGCUAGUGAACCAGAGAGUUUGGAUGUCAAACCGUAUAAUGUUUAUUACAAUAUAGAAAAGUUCUAACAAAGUGAUCUUUAACUUUUUUUUUUUUUCUCCUUCUACUUCUACUUGUUCUCACUCUGCCACCAACGUGGCAGGCUUUGUACAAAGAAUGUGAGCUUUGUUUUGCUUAACAGACAUAUAUUUUUUCUUUUGGUUUUGCUUGACAUGGUUUCCCUUUCUAUCCGUGCAGGGUUCCCAGACUGCCUUUUGAGAAUAAAAUGGGAGGCCAGAACCAAAGUCUUUUGAAUAAAGCACCACAACUCUAACCUGUUUGGCUGCCUUCCUUCCCAAGGCACAGAUCUUUCCCAGCAUGGAAAAGCAUGUAGCAGUUGUAGGACACACUAGACGAGAGCACCAGAUCUCAUUGUGGGUGGUUGUGAACCACCCACCAUGUGGUUGCUGGGAUUUGAACUCAGGAUCUUCAGAAGAGCAGUCAGGGCUCUAAACCGAUGAGCCAUCUCUCCAGCCUCCUACAUUCCUUCUUAAGGCAUGAAUGAUCCCAGCAUGGGAAGACAGUCUGCCCUCCCUCCUUUUUGAGCCAUUUUCCCUCUUUCACCAUAUACUCAAUAAAAUAAGUAAAUGAAUGAAGUCUCCAGCUAUUUAUUUCUUCGAGCUAUCUAAAUUCUCUCACAGCACCUCCCCCUCCCCCACACUGCCUUUUCUCCCUAUGUUUGGGUGGGGCUGGGGGAGGGGUGGGGUGGGGGGCAGGGAUCUGCAUGUCUUCCUUGCAGGUCUGUGAACUAUUUGCGAUGGCCUGGUUCUCUGAACUGUUGAGCCUUGUCUAUCCAGAGGCUGACUGGCUAGUUUUCUGCCUGAAGUCCCUGAGUGAUGAUUUCCCUGUGAAUUCUCUGAACUCACUGUCCUUUCAGGUCCACAUUUGCUCUGGCUCUGGCAACUGACUGAACCAAACAAUUAGGCUCAUACCUAGAACUUUGGAAAUGGUAAUGGAGUUGAUAACACACCCUAACAGAAAGAGGAAGGCUCCACUCACUAGUACACUUUCACUAGAAGCCUCGCCCUGUCAGCAGUUUAGGAAUUUGUAAAGCCAAUCUGGACAAUAUUUAAAUGGUUUGGAAUUUCUACUUCAUGUUUAAAUUUUUUUUUUUUUUUUUUUUUUUUUUUUUUUUGAGACAGGGUUUCUCUGUAUAGCCCUGGCUGUCCUGGAACUCACUUUGUAGACCAGGCUGGCCUCGAACUCAGAAAUACGCCUGCCUCUGCCUCCCGAGUGCUGUGAUUAAAGGCGUGCACCACCACGCCAGGCCCCAUGUUUAAUGUUUAGUAAACAUUUAAUAAACAUUGUGAAGGUCUGAAGAGAUGGAUCAGCAGUUAAGAGCAUUGACUUUUCUUGCAGAGGUCCUGAGUUCAAUUCCCAGGAAUCACAUGGUGCCUUUGGAAUCCGAUGCACACUUUUGGUGUGUGUUGGAAGACAGCUGCAGUGUACUCAUAUAAAUAAAAAAUAAAUAAAACAUUCAAAAAUAAAGUAAAACAAAGAUUGUGAUGAAAUUGAGCAUUUUAAUUUUAUUUUAUUGUAUUGUAUUUCACACACACACACACACACACACACACACACACACACACACACAGAGACAUAUAUCUACUGGCACAGAAAUUCACAUUACCUAGUAAGCUGGGAGUGGUUGGAUUGAAUAUGCAAAGAAGGAACAUUUGCAGUCAGUCAGUAAAGUUUUGCUGUUGCUCUUUUUUCUUUUUUUGGGGGGGGGGGUGUUUAAAUAGUACAGCAGAGCAGUACAUGCCAUUAAUCCCAGCACUUCGGAGGCAGAGGCAGGCAGAUUUCUGAAUUGGAGGCCAGCCUGGUCUACAGAGUGAGUUCCAGGACAGCCCAGGCUACACAGAGAAACCCUGUCUGGAAAAACAAACAAACAGACAAACAAACCAAGCAAAAUCCAAUCCAAACUUCACAAAGGACACUAUAACAAAUUACAGUUGCUUGCGUCUAAUAGAAAACAUUGCCUUCCCCCCAAGUAACCCUGGUUCAAGUAAAUACAAAACUAAGUAAUCACACAUGUACAAACAUACAAACAUACCAAAAUACAUACAUACAUACAUACAUACAUACAUACAUACAUACAUACAUAAAACAAAUAAUGAUAACUAAGUGGCAUGGAGCUGCUCACACAGUUUGGAUUCCACCUACCCACUCCACCUCCAUCACAUGCCUGCAGAACUUACUUGAGCAGCCGGCCUGAUCUGUCUUAUUUGUUUUUGUCUUGUACUUUGUCUCUCACAAAUGAAUGAAUAGAGAGAUAGAUAUUCAUUCAUCUAUACAUGCAUGUGCGAUGGCUCAGAGGGCAUAGCUGCUGGCUGUUAAGGUAUAGGUAAAAUAUUAAGGACUGAGGAAACUAACCUCUUCUCUGGUUAACCUGCUAUCUUGUGCUGUUAACUACUAUUAUAAGGACACUUUCUCAUAGCUUGUUUCUGUCAUUACCAAACAAUUAUGGCUGGCUGCCUGCCUGCCUGCCUGCCUGCCUACACAGAGAAAUGAUUUCUCCAAUCAACUAAAACUACCUCCUAAGCCUGCCUCUUUUUCUCUUCCUUUUUCUUUUUCUUUCAUUUUCUUUCUCUUUCUCUUUCUCUUUCUCUUUCUCUUUCUCUUUCUCUUUCUCUUUCUCUUUCUCUUUCUCUUUCUCUUUCUUUCUCUUUCUCUUUCUUUUUCAUUUUCUCUCUCUCUUCCUUUUUUUUCUUUCUUUCUUACAUUUAUUCUUUUCAUACAUAUUUUAUUUCAUUUCAUUUGACUUUUAUUUUAUUUUAUUUUAUUUUAUUUUAUUUUAUUUUAUUUUAUUUUAUUUUAUUUUAUUUUAUUUUGGUUUUUCGAGACAGGGUUUCUCUGUAUACCCCUGGCUGUCCUGGAACUCAGUUUGCAGACCAGGCUGUCCUGGAACUCUGAAAUCCUCCCAUCUCUGCCUCCCUAGUGUUGGGAUUAAAGACAUGGGCCACCACUCUGGCUACUUUUUAAUUUUUUAAUUUUUAUUUUUUUUGUUUUUGUUUUUGUUUUUGUUUUUUCGAGACAGGGUUUCUCUGUAUAACUCUGGCUGUCCUGGAACUCACUUCAUAGACCAGGCAGGCCUUGAACUCAGAAAUCCGCCUGCCUCUGCCUCCCAAGUGCUGGGAUUAAAGGUGUGCUUUACGCCCGGCUUUUAUUUUUAAAUUUUAUUUAUUUAAUUUAUUUUUGUUUAUUUCAAGAUGUGGUUUCUCUGUGUAAACUUGGCUGUCCUGGAACUCACUGUGUAGACCAGGCUGGCCUUGAACACUUUAAUCUGUCUGCCUCUGCUUCCCAAAUGCUGGGAUUAAAAGCAUCUGCCACCACUGCCCUGACUAAUUUUUUUUUUUUUUUUUGGAAAAUACCUUUCUUCCUACCUUCCUUUCUUCCUUCCUUCCUUCCUUCCUUCCUUCCUUCCUUCCUUUCUUUCUUUCUUUCUUUCUUUCAUUAUUUUUUCUUUUUUUUGAGAUAUGGUUUCUCUGUGUAGCCCUAGCUGCCUUGUAAUCCAAGGUGACCUUGAAUGCAGAAAUCUGCCUGAGGUUAAAGGUGUGUUCCACAAUUGCCCCAGCUCUACUCUAAUUCUCUUAAAAAAAAAUAUGUGUGUACAUAUGUAUGUAUAAUUAAAAGUUAUAUUAAUCCAUUAAGAUCUCUAAAGUGAGUUCCAGGAGUAUCCAGAGAAACCCUGUCACAAUAAAUAAAUAAAUAAAUAAAUAGAUAAAUAAAUAAGAAAGAAAGAAAGAAAGAAAGAAAGAAAGAAAGAAAGAAAGAAAGAAAGAAGGAAUCCUAACCAUCACCCCCAAUAAAAAGGCUGUGGAAACUAUUUCAUGUCCCUCUCCCCCAUAGGUGAGGAUGUAGCUGCUUGUAAAUGAAUACGCCGUGUGUGUGUAUGUGUUUCCAUGGCCAGCUAGUACCAACCCCAGAUUUGUGUUUCAGACAUAUGAUUCUUCUAGUACUAUUGACUAUUGAAUUUUGAUCAUGAAGGCACAUUGGAUUUUUAUUUUUUGGUUUUCUUUUUGUUAUGGUUUUUUCAGACAGGGUUUCCCUGUAUAGCCCUGGCUGUCCUGGCACAUUGGAUUUUAUAACAGAGUUUAUGUGUGUGUGUGUGUGUGUGUGUGUGUAAUACUUCUGCUGUGAUUGCGACUAAUUUUAUUUGUUUGAAAAUACCUUUAAUUCUUUCUUUCUUCUUCCUUCCUUCCUUCCUUCCUUCCUUCCUUUCUUUCUCUUUCUUUCUCUCUUUCUAUUUUUUUUUUUGUUUUUUGUUUUUUUGAAGAUAUGGUUUCUCUAGCCCUAGCUGACUUGUAAACCAGGGUGACCUUGAAAGCAGAAAUCUGCCUGAGGUUGAAGGUGGUUUCCACAAUUGCCCCAGCUCUACUCUAAUUCUCUUUUAAAAAAAUGUGUGUGUGUAUGUUUGUAUGUAUAUAUGUAUAUAUAGAAGUAAUAUUAGGGGCUGGUGAGAUGGCUCAGUGGGUAAGAGCACCCGACUGCUCUUCCAAAGGUCUGGAGUUCAAAUCCCAGCAACCACAUGGUGGCUCACAACCACCUGUAAUGAGAUCUGACUCUCUCUUCUGGAGUGUCGGAAGACAGCUACAGUGUACUUACAUAUAAAAAAAAAAAAAAAGAAGUAAUAUUAAUCCAUUAAUAUCUCUUUUUCCUAAAAUUCAUGUCUUUCUUUCUCUCUUUCUUCUUUCUUCUUUCUUUCUUUCUUUCUUUCUUUCUUUCUUUCUUUCUUUCUUUCUUUCUUUCUUUCUUUCUCUCUUUCUUUCUCUCUUUCUUUCUUUCUUUUUACUUUCUCUUUCUUUUUUCUCUCUUUCUCUCUUUCUAUUAGUUUUUAUUGUUUUUUCUGAGAUAUGGUUUCUCUAGUCCUAGCUGACUUGUAAGCCAGGGUGACCUUGAAAGCAGAAAUCUGCCUGAGGUUGAAGGUGUGUUCCACAAUUGCCCCAGCUCUACUCUAAUUCUCUUUUAAAAAAAUGUGUGUGUGUAUGUUUCUAUGUAUAUAUGUAUAUAUAGAAGUAAUAUUAAUCCAUUAAUAUCUCUUUUUCCGAAAUUUCAUGUCUCUCUCUCUCUCUCUCUCUCUCUCUCUCUCUCUCUUUCUUUCUUUCUUACAUUUAUUCUUUUCAUACAUAGUUUCUUAGUGUAAGCAGCCCUGGCUGUCUUGAAGAUACUUUGUAGGCCUCAAUCCUGUAAGAGCCUUCCUCUGCUUUUCAAAUGCUGGAAUGAAUGUUGUACCUCACUAUGACCGGCUGAGAUUCUCACCUUUUCUUUUCUCCCCUCCCCCUUUCUUUUUAUGAUUCUAGCUUUGGCCAGGCAGUGGUGGUGGUGGUGGUGGCAGAGGGAGGUGGAUCACUGUAACUUUGCAGCUAGCUUAGUCUUCAGUCUGAGUUACUGGAAAGGAGUUCCAAGAAGACUGGUUAUAUUUUUCAUUUAUUAUGCAUUUUUUAAAGAUUUAUUUAUUAUUAUAUGUAAGUACACUGUAGCUGUCUUCAGACACACCAGAAGAGGGAGUCAGAUCUUGUUACGGAUGGUUGUGAGCCACCAUGUGGUUGCUGGGAUUUGAACUCUGGACCUUUGGAAGAGCAGUCGGGUGCUCUUACCCACUGAGCCAUCUCACCAGCCCUUAUUAUGCAUUUUAAUUAAGAUUUAAUUACACCAAAAGAAUUUAGACUGACCAAUUCAGAGUCUGCCGUUUAAAAGCAUAAGGAAAAAGUAGGAGAAAAACGUGAGGCUGUCUGUGGAUGGUCGAGGCUGCUUUAGGGAGCCUCCUCACCAUUCUGCACUUGCAAACCGGGCCACUAAAACCCGGUGAAGGGAGAAACCAAAGCGACCUGAAACAAUAGGUCACAUGAAGGCCAGCCACCUCCAUCUUGUUGUGCGGGAGUUCAGUUAGCAGACAAGAUGGCUGCCAUGCACAUGUUGUCUUUCAGCUUGGUGAGGUCAAAGUGCAGCCGAGUGACAGGACAAGGAAGUAGACAUGCAGACAACAGACAUGCAGGCGAACCAUCUGCCUUCUGUGUUUGGAUAAAAGACACACAACAAUUUUCAUUACUUACACUAAGCCUUAAAAAGCACUCUGACAGCCUCGCAUAUAUCUACAUUCUAUGUGAUUAGAAUUUCCUUUUUUGUUGUUUUUUCAUUUAUUCUCAGGAGCUGCAUGGUGGUUUCUCCUAGGUUCUGUUGCCCUCUCCUGGCAUGCAGGUAUAUACGCAGCAGAUAAAGCACAAACACACACUUACAUUGAAAACUAUUUGUAAUAAGAAAGAAAGAAAGAAAGAAAGAAAGAAAGAAAGAAAGAAAGAAAGAAAGAAAGAAAGAAAGGAGAAAGAAAGAAAGAAAGAAAGAAAGAAAGAAAGAAAGAAAGAAAGAAAGAAAGGAAGGAAGGAAGGAAGGAAGGAAGGAAGGAUUUUCAGACAUAUGAUUCUUCUAGUACUAUUGACUAUCGAAUUUUGAUCAUGAAGGCACAUUGGAUUUUUGUUUUUUGUUUUUUUGUUUGUUUUGGUUUUUCGAGACAGGGUUUCUCUGUAUAGCCCUGGCUGUCCUGGCACAUUGGAUUUUAUGACAGAGUGUGUGUGCGUGUGUGUGUGUGUGUGUGUGUGUGUGUGUGUGUGUGUGUGUGUGUGUGUGUUUGAUAUUUCUGCUGUGAUUGCGGUAACCUGCAAUCUAGUGGGCCUAUGUUUUAUUUCUGUAAUCUUUUUUCUAAUUCUUUUUCAUUUCUAUUUCUUAUUUUAUUUUAUUUUAUUUUAUUUAUUUUGUUUUUUUUUUUCGAGACAGGGUUUCUCCCUAUAGCCCUGGCUGUUCUGGAACUCACUUUGCCGACCAUGGCCAUGGUGGCCUUGAAUUCAGAAAUCCUCCCAUCCCUGCCUCCCUAGGACUGGGAAUAAAGGCUUGAGCCACCACUCCCGGGUAUAUUUAAUUUUUUUAAUUUUUAAAUUUUAUUUGUUUUAUUUAUUUUUCUUUUUUUCAAGAUGUGGUUUCUCUGUGUAACCCUGGCUGUCCUGGAACUCACUCUGUAGACCAGGCUGGCCUUGAACCAUUAAUCUGAACGUUUUUGCUUCCCAAAUGCUGGGAUUAGAGGCAUGUGACACCACUGCCCGGAUUAAUUUUAUUUGUUUGAAAAUACCUUCCUUCCUUCCUUCCUUCCUUCCUUCCUUCCUUCCUUCCUUCCUCCUUCCUUCCUCCCUUUUCUUUCUUUCUUUCUUUCUUUCUUUCUUUCUUUCUUUCUUUCUUUCUCUCUCUCUUUCUCUCUUUCUAUUAGUUUUUUUUUUUUUUUUUGUUUUUUUGGAGAUAUGGUUUCUCUAGUCCUAGCUGACUUGUAAGCCAGGGUGACCUUGAAAGCAGAAAUCUGCCUUCUUUCUUUCUUUCUUUCUUUCUUUCUUUCUUUCUUUCUUUCUUUCUUUCUUUCUUUCUUCCAAAAAUGCUCAGGGACAUCACUCUACCUCCAGCCAGAGAAGAGUCUCAGGAAAUGUAUGUGAGCUUGCUUUGCUUUGUUUUGUGGGGCCAAAUGUGACAGACAUUUCUUUUGGCUUUGUGUGUUUUGCCAGCCAGCUCUCUUGCUCUGCUCACUCACUCACUCACUCACUCACUCAUUAGCUUGCUUACUGUGGUUUUCACUUCUAUCUAUCUCUGCAGGGUUCCAAGACUGCCCUUUGGUAUUCAAACGGGAGCCGCUUUGGACUGACUGGCUGCCUUCCUCCUCCUCCCCCUCCUCCCCCUUCUGCUUCAGAUUUAUUUAUUAUAUGUAAGUACACUGUAGCAGUUGUAGGACACACUAGACGAGGGCACCAGAUCUCAUUGUGGGUGGUUGUGAACCACCCACCAUGUGGUUGCUGGGAUUUGAACUCAGGAUCUUCAGAAGAGCAGUCAGGGCUCUAAACCGCUGAGCCAUCUCUCCAGCCUCCUGCAUUCCUUCUUAAGGCAUGAAUGAUCCCAGCAUGGGAAGACAGUCUGCCCUCCCUCCUUUUUGAGCCAUUUUCCCUCUUUCACCAUAUACUCAAUAAAAUAAGUAAAUGAAUGAAGUCUCCAGCUAUUUAUUUCUUCGAGCUAUCUAAAUUCUCUCACAGCACCUCCCCCUCCCCCACACUGCCUUUUCUCCCUAUGUUUGGGUGGGGCUGGGGGAGGGGUGGGGUGGGGGGCAGGGAUCUGCAUGUCUUCCUUGCAGGUCUGUGAACUAUUUGCGAUGGCCUGGUUCUCUGAACUGUUGAGCCUUGUCUAUCCAGAGGCUGACUGGCUAGUUUUCUGCCUGAAGUCCCUGAGUGAUGAUUUCCCUGUGAAUUCUCUGAACUCACUGUCCUUUCAGGUCCACAUUUGCUCUGGCUCUGGCAACUGACUGAACCAAACAAUUAGGCUCAUACCUAGAACUUUGGAAAUGGUAAUGGAGUUGAUAACACACCCUAACAGAAAGAGGAAUGCUCCACUCACUAGUACACUUUCACUAGAAGCCUCACCCUGUCAGCAGUUUAGGAAUUUGUAAAGCCAAUCUGGACAAUAUUUAAAUGGUUUGGAAUUUCUACUUCAUGUUUUUUUUUUUUUUUUUUUUUUUUUAGACAGGGUUUCUCUGUAUAGCCCUGGCUGUCCUGGCACAUUGGAUUUUAUAACAGACUUUGUGUGUGUGUGUGUGUGUGUGUGUGUGUGUGUGUGUGUGUGUAAUACUUCUCCUGUGAUUGCCGUAACUUGCAAUCUAGUGGGCUUAUGUUUGAUUCCUGUAAUCUUUUUUUCUAAUUCUUUUUCCUUUUUAUAUUUUAUUUUAUUUUAUUUUAUUUUAUUUUAUUUUAUUUUGGUUUUUGAGACAGGGUUUCUCUGUAUAGCCCUGGCUGUCCUGGAACUCAGUUUGCAGACCAGGCUGGCCUAGAACUCAGAAAUCCUCCCAUCUCUGCCUCCCGAGUGCUGAGAUUAAAGGCGUGCACCACCACACCCGGCUAUUUUUAAAUUUUUUUAUUUUUAAAUUUUAUUUUUAUUUUUAUUUAUUUAUUUAUUUAUUUUUGUUUUUUCUAGACACGGUUGGUUUCUCUGUAUAACUCUGGCUGUCCUGGAACUCACUUCAUAGACCAGGCUGGCCUUGAUCUCAGAAAUCCGCCUGCCUCUGCCUCCCAAGUGCUGGGAUUAAAGGUGUGCUUUACGCCCGGCUUUUAUUUUUAAAUUUUAUUUAUUUAAUUUAUUUUUGUUUAUUUCAAGAUGUGGUUUCUCUGUGUAACCUAGGCUGUCCUGGAACUCACUGUGUAGACCAGGCUGGCCUUGAACACUUUAAUCUGUCUGCCUCUGCUUCCCAAAUGCUGGGAUUAAAAGCAUCUGCCACCACUGCCCUGACUAAUUUUUUUUUUUUUUUUUUUUUAGAAAAUACCUUUCUUCCUACCUUCCUUUCUUCCUUCCUUCCUUCCUUCCUUCCUUCCUUCCUUCCUUUCUUUCUUUCAUUAUUUUUUCUUUUUUUUGAGAUAUGGUUUCUCUGUGUAGCCCUAGCUGCCUUGUAAUCCAAGGUGACCUUGAACGCAGAAAUCUGCCUGAGGUUAAAGGUGUGUUCCACAAUUGCCCCAGCUCUACUCUAAUUCUCUUUUUAAAAAUAUGUGUCUUUGUAUGUAUGUAUAUAUCGAAGUAUUCAUGUCAUUCAUGGUCCACAAAGUGAGUUCCAGGAGUACCCAGAGAAACCCUGUCUCAAAAAAAAAAAAAAAAAAAAAAAAAGAAAGAAAGAAAGAAAGAAAGAAAGAAAGAAAGAAGGAAUCCUAACCAUCACUACCAUCACCACCAAUAAAAAGGCUGUGGAAACUAUUUCAGGUCCCUCUCCCCCACAGGUGAGGAUGUAGCUGCUUGUAAAUGAAUACGCCGUGUGUGUGUAUGUGUUUCCAUGGCCAGCUAGUACCAACCCCAGAUUUGUGUUUCAGAGGUCUUUACUUAUUUAUUUCUCAUGCCUGAGCUUGUGUAGGUGGUAGGCCACCACACCUCCAGAAAAACAACAUAAAAUCAACUAACAAACCAACCCGAAAAUGUACAAGAAUGGAUUCAUCUGGCAUUGAAAAGUAAUAGACUGCCGGGCAGUGGUGGAACAUGCCUUUAGUCCUACCUACUACUUUGUAGGCAGAGGCAGACAAAUUUCUGCGUUCCAAGCCAGCCUGGUCUACAGAGUAAGUUCCAGGACAGCGAGGGCAACACAGAAAAACACUGUCUUGAUCUCAGCACUGGGAAGAGGCAGAGGCAGAACUUACUUGAGAGGCCGGCCUGGUCUGUCUUGUAUGUUUUUGCACCAUGUACAGAGACUUUGUCUCUCAUAAAUAAAUGAAUACAGAGAAAGAUAUUCAUUGAUCUGAACAUGCAUGUGCGAUGGCUCAGAGGGCAAAACUGCUGGCUGUUAAGGUAUAGGUAAAAUAUUAAGGCCUAGAUGGAAUGUGAAGGCCUACUUCAGAUUAGAUAAGGCCUAGGUAACCUCUUACCUGGCUAGCCUGCCAUUUUGUGCUGUUAACUACUAUUAUAAGGACACUUUCUCAUAGCUUGUUUCUGCCAUUAUUGCCAGAAUUGACUACAUAUUCUUGUUGGAUGUGUCCUCGGAAACCAAUCAGAAUAGAAGCUUCCUUUGUUCUAUAGUUAUCUGCAAUAGGCUUGGACCCAAACUGACCACCCAGCAGCAUUUCCUGCACAAACCCAUGUAUACACUUUUCUGGCAUUUGCUCUUAGAAGCUGCCCUGGGGACGGACCCCCGCACCCCAACAAAAGAGAGACACCCGCACCACCGAUUCAGUGCAGAGACUACUUCGAACCAGACUUCUAUUUUGAGUAGGGUGUGAGUGAGUAAAGUAUAAGUUCUCGAGGCCUCCCUGGGAACUGACAUCUUACUUGGAAGAAAGAGACUUGUACAUGCACAACUGACUUUCUGGUUUUCAAGUUAAGACAUGGCAAGUACCCUUGCCACAGUAGAGUACCCCAAUUAAUGGGAGCAGGAUAAGUAUACAACAAGGACAUGUUCCUAAGGAAUUCCCCUAUCCCUAAUCCAGAUUGGUGGAAUAACUUGGUAUAGAUGUUUGUGCAUUAAAAACCCUGUAGGAUCUUCACUCUAGGUCACUGUUCAGCACUGGAACCUGAAUUGUGGCCCUUAGUGAUAGGUCCUGGGACAUAUGCAGUUCUGCACAGACAGACAGACAGACAGACAGACAGACGUACAAACAAACAAUGUGAGCGUGUGCAACACACACACAAACACCACUCCUGGCCAUAAUUAUUGAGGACGUGAUUUUAUUAUUCUGUGUUUGUGAGUCUGUCUGUCUGUCUGUCUGUCUGUCUGUCUGUCUGUCUAUCAAACCAAAAGAAACCAAACAAUUAUGGCUGCCUGCCUGCCUGCCUGCCUACACAGAGAAAUGAUUUCUUCAAUCAACUAAAACGACCUCCUAAGUUUGCCUUUUUUCUCUUUCUUUUUCUCUUUCUUUAUCUUUUUCUUUUUCUUUUUUCUUUUCUCCUUCCUUCCUUCCUUCCUUCCUUCCUUUCUUUCUUUCUUUCUUUCUUUCUUUCUUUCUUUCUUUCUUUCUUUCUUUUUUUCUUUCUUUCUUUCUUUCUUACAUUUAUUCUUUUCAUACAUAGUUUCUUAGUGUAAGCAUCCCUGACUGUCUUGAAGACACUUUGUAGGCCUCAAUCCUGUAAGAGCCUUCCUCUGCUUUUCAAAUGCUGGCAUGAAUAUUGUACCUCACUAUGACCGGCUAAGAUUCUCACCUUUUCUUUUCUCCCCUCCCCCUUUCUUUUUAUGAUUCUAGCUAUGGCCAGUCAGUGGUGGUGGUGGUGGUGGCAGAGGGAGGUGGAUCACUGUAACUUUGCAGCUAGCUUAGUCUUCAGUCUGAGUUACUGGAAAGGAGUUCCAAGAAGACUGGUUAUAUUUUUCAUUUAUUAUGCAUUUUAAUUAAAAUUUAAUUUCACCAAAAGAAUUUAGACUGACCAAUUCAGAGUCUGCCGUUUAAAAGCAUAAGGAAAAAGUAGGAGAAAAACGUGAGGCUGUAUGUGGAUGGUCGAGGCUGCUUUAGGGAGCCUCCUCACCAUUCUGCACUUGCAAACCGGGCCACUAGAACCCGGUGAAGGGAGAAACCAAAGCGACCUGAAACAAUAGGUCACAUGAAGGCCAGCCACCUCCAUCUUGUUGUGCAGGAGUUCAGUUAGCAGACAAGAUGGCUGCCAUCCACAUGUCACCUUUCAUCUUGGUGAGGUCAAUGUGCAGCCGAGUGACAGGACAAGGAAGUAGACAUGCAGACAACAGACAUGCAGGCGAACCACCUCCCUUCUGUGUUUGGAUAAAAGACACACAACAAUUUUUAUUAUUUACAGUAAGCCUUAAAAAGCACUCUGACAGCCACUCAGAUAUCUACCUUCUAUAUGAUUAGAAUUUCCUUUUUUCUUGUUUUAAAUUAAUUCGAGGUUCUGGUGCCCUCUUCUGGCAUGCAGGCAUAUAGGCAGCAGAUAAAGCCCAAACACACACUUAGAUUGAAAACUAAUUUUAAUAAGAAAGAAAGAAAGAAAGAAAGAAAGAAAGAAAGAAAGAAAGAAAGAAAGAAAGGGGGGAAGGAAGGAAGGAAGAAAGAAAGAAAGAAAGAAAGAAAGAAAGAAAGAAAGAAAGAAAGAAAGAAAGAAAGAAAGAAAGAAAGAAAGAAAGGAAGGAAGAAAGAAAGAAAGGAAGGAAGGAAGGAAGGAAGGAUUUUCAGACAUAUGAUUCUUCUAGUUCUAUUGCCUGUUGAAGUUUGAUCAUGAAGGCACAUUGGAUUUUUGUUUCUUGGGUUUUUUUUUUUUUUUUUUUGUUCGUUUGUUUUGGUUUUUCGAGACAGGGUUUCUCUGUAUAGCCCUGGCUGUCCUGGGACAUUGGAUUUUAUAACAGAGUUUGUGUCUGUGUGUGUGUGUGUGUGUGUGUAAUACUUCUGCUGUGAUUGCUGUAACUUGCAAUCUAGUGGGCUUAUGUUUGAUUUCUGUAAACUUUUUUUCUAAUUCUUUUUCCUUUUUAUAUUUUAUUUUAUUUUAUUUUGGUUUUUGAGACAGGGUUUCUCUGUAUAGCCCUGGCUGUCCUGGAACUCACUUUGCAGACCAGGCUGGCCACAAACUCAGAAAUCCUCCCAUCCCUGCCUCCCUAGGGCUGGGAUUAAAAGCUUGAGCCACCACUCCCCGGUAUUUUUUAAUUUUUUAAUUUUUUAAUUGUAUUUAUUUAAUUCAUUUUUGUUUUUUGUUUCUUUUUCAUGAUGCAGUUUCUCUGUGUAACACUGGCUGUCCUGGAACUCACUCUGUAGGCCAGGCUGGCCUUGAACCCUAAUCUGUCUGUUUCUGCUUCCCAAGUGCUGGGAUUAAAUGCAUGUGCCACCACUGCCCGGACUAAUUUUAUUUGUUUGAAAAUACCUUUCUUUCUUUUCUUCUUUCUUUCUUUCUUUCUUUCUUUCUUUCUUUCUUUCUUUCUUUCUUUCUUUCUUUCUUUCUUUGUUUUUCUGUCUUUCUGUCUUUCUAUUUUUUUUUUUUUCGUUUUUUUUUUUUAGCUGACUUGUAAGCCAGGGUGACCUUGAACGCAGAAAUCUGCCUGAGGUUAAAAGUGUGUUCCACAACUGCCCCAGCUCUACUCUAAUUCUCUUUAAAAAAAUGUGUGUGUGUAUGUAUGUAUAUACGUAUAUAUAGUAGUAAUAUUAAUCCAUUAAUAUCUCUUUUUCCAAAAAUCAUGUCUCUCUCUCUCUCUCUCUCUCUCUCUUUCUUUCUUUCUUUCUUUCUUUCUUUCUUUCUUUCUUUUUUCUUACAUUUAUUCUUUUCAUACACAGUUUCUUAGUGUAAGCAGCCCUGGCUGUCUUGAAGACACUUUGUAGGCCUCAAUCCUGUAAGAGCCUUCCUCUGCUUUUCAAAUGCUGGCAUGAAUGUUGUACCUCACUACGACUGGCUGAGAUUCUCACCUUUUCUUUUCUCCCCUCCCCCUUUCUUUUUAUGAUUCUAGCUUUGGCCAGGCAGUGGUGGUGGUGGUGGUGGUGGCAGAGGGAGGUGGAUCACUGUAACUUUGCAGCUAGCUUAGUCUUCAGUCUGAGUUACUCGAAAGGAGUUUCAAGAAUACUGGUUAUAUUUUUCAUAUAUUAUGCAUUUUAAUUAAGAUUUAAUUACACCAAAAGAAUUUAGACUGACCAAUUCAGAGUCUGCUAUUUAUUUAUUUAUUUAUUUAUUUAUUUAUUUAUUUAUUUAUUUUUCGAGACAGGGUUUCUCUGUGUAGCCCUGGCUGUCCUGGGACAUUGGAUUUUAUAACAGAGUUUGUGUCUGUGUGUGUGUGUGUGUGUGUGUAAUACUUCUGCUGUGAUUGCUGUAACUUGCAAUCUAGUGGGCUUAUGUUUGAUUUCUGUAAACUUUUUUUCUAAUUCCUUUUCCUUUUUAUAUUUUAUUUUAUUUUAUUUUGGUUUUUGAGACAGGGUUUCUCUGUAUAGCCCUGGCUGUCCUGGAACUCACUUUGCAGACCAGGCUGGCCACAAACUCAGAAAUCCUCCCAUCCCUGCCUCCCUAGGGCUGGGAUUAAAAGCUUGAGCCACCACUCCCCGGUAUUUUUUAAUUUUUUAAUUUUUUAAUUGUAUUUAUUUAAUUCAUUUUUGUUUUUUGUUUCUUUUUCAUGAUGCAGUUUCUCUGUGUAACACUGGCUGUCCUGGAACUCACUCUGUAGGCCAGGCUGGCCUUGAACCCUAAUCUGUCUGUUUCUGCUUCCCAAGUGCUGGGAUUAAAUGCAUGUGCCACCACUGCCCGGACUAAUUUUAUUUGUUUGAAAAUACCUUUCUUUCUUUUCUUCUUUCUUUCUUUCUUUCUUUCUUUCUUUCUUUCUUUCUUUCUUUCUUUCUUUCUUUCUUUGUUUUUCUGUCUUUCUGUCUUUCUAUUUUUUUUUUUUUCGUUUUUUUUUUUUUAGCUGACUUGUAAGCCAGGGUGACCUUGAACGCAGAAAUCUGCCUGAGGUUAAAAGUGUGUUCCACAACUGCCCCAGCUCUACUCUAAUUCUCUUUAAAAAAAUGUGUGUGUGUAUGUAUGUAUAUACGUAUAUAUAGUAGUAAUAUUAAUCCAUUAAUAUCUCUUUUUCCAAAAAUCAUGUCUCUCUCUCUCUCUCUCUCUCUCUCUUUCUUUCUUUCUUUCUUUCUUUCUUUCUUUCUUUCUUUUUUCUUACAUUUAUUCUUUUCAUACACAGUUUCUUAGUGUAAGCAGCCCUGGCUGUCUUGAAGACACUUUGUAGGCCUCAAUCCUGUAAGAGCCUUCCUCUGCUUUUCAAAUGCUGGCAUGAAUGUUGUACCUCACUACGACUGGCUGAGAUUCUCACCUUUUCUUUUCUCCCCUCCCCCUUUCUUUUUAUGAUUCUAGCUUUGGCCAGGCAGUGGUGGUGGUGGUGGUGGUGGCAGAGGGAGGUGGAUCACUGUAACUUUGCAGCUAGCUUAGUCUUCAGUCUGAGUUACUCGAAAGGAGUUUCAAGAAUACUGGUUAUAUUUUUCAUAUAUUAUGCAUUUUAAUUAAGAUUUAAUUACACCAAAAGAAUUUAGACUGACCAAUUCAGAGUCUGCUAUUUAUUUAUUUAUUUAUUUAUUUAUUUAUUUAUUUAUUUAUUUUUCGAGACAGGGUUUCUCUGUGUAGCCCUGGCUGUCCUGGAACUCACUUUGUAGACCAGGCUGGCCUCGAACUCAGAAAUCCGCCUGCCUCUGCCUCCCAAGUGCUGGGAUUAAAGGCGUGCGCCACCACGCCCGGCGAGUCUGCCAUUUAAAAGCAUAAGGAAAAAGUAGGAGAAAAACGUGAGGCUGUCUGUGGAUGGUCGAGGCUGCUUUAGGGAGCCUCCUCACCAUUCUGCACUUGCAAACCGGGCCACUAAAACCCGGUGAAGGGAGAAACCAAAGCGACCUGAAACAAUAGGUCACAUGAAGGCCAGCCACCUCCAUCUUGUUGUGCAGGAGUUCAGUUAGCAGACAAGAUGGCUGCCAUCCACAUGUCACCUUUCAUCUUGGUGAGGUCAAUGUGCAGCCGAGUGAUAGGACAAGGAAGUAGACAUGCAGACAACAGACAUGCAGGCGAACCACCUCCCUUCUGUGUUUGGAUAAAAGACACACAACAAUUUUUAUUAUUUACAGUAAGCCUUAAAAAGCACUCUGACAGCCACUCAGAUAUCUACCUUCUAUAUGAUUAGAAUUUCCUUUUUUUCUUGUUUUAAAUUAAUUCGAGGUUCUGGUGCCCUCUUCUGGCAUGCAGGCAUAUAGGCAGCAGAUAAAGCCCAAACACACACUUAGAUUGAAAACUAAUUUUAAUAAGAAAGAAAGAAAGAAAGAAAGAAAGAAAGAAAGAAAGAAAGAAAGAAAGAAAGGAAGGAAGGAAGAAAGAAAGGAACGAAAGAUUUUCAGAUAUAUGAUUCUUCUAGUUCUAUUGACUGUUGAAUUUUGAUCAUGAAGGCACAUUGGAUUUUUGUUUCUUGUUUUUUUUUUUUUUUUUUUUUGUUCGUUUGUUUUGGUUUUUCGAGACAGGGUUUCUCUGUAUAGCCCUGGCUGUCCUGGCACAUUGGAUUUUAUAAAAGAGUUUGUGUGUGUGUGUGUGUGUGUGUAAUACUUCUUCUGUGAUUGCGGUAACUUGCAAUCUAGUGGGCUUAUGUUUGAUUUCUGUAAUCUUUUUUCCAAUUUUUUUUUCCUUUUUAUAUUUUAUUUUAUUUUAUUUUAUUUUAUUUUAUUUUAUUUUAUUUUGAGACAGGGUUUCUCUGUAUAGCCCUGGCUGUCCUGGAACUCACUUUGCAGACCAGGCUGGCCACAAACUCAGAAAUCCUCCCAUCCCUGCCUCCCUAGGGCUGGGAUUAAAGGCUUGAGCCACCACUCCCCGGUAUUUUUUAAUUUUUUAAUUUUUUAAUUGUAUUUAUUUAAUUCAUUUUUGUUUUUUGUUUUUUUUUUCAUGAUGCAGUUUCUCUGUGUAACACUGGCUGUCCUGGAACUCACUCUGUAGGCCAGGCUCGAAAGGAGUUCCAGGAAGACUGGUUAUAUUUUUCAUUUAUUAUGCAUUUUAAUUAAGAUUUAAUUACACCAAAAGAAUUUAGACUGACCAAUUCAGAGUGUGCCGUUUAAAAGCAUAAGGAAAAAGUAGGAGAAAAACGUGAGGCUGUCUGUGGAUGGUCAAGGCUGCUUUAGGGAGCCUCCUCACCAUUCUGCACUUGCAAACCGGGCCACUAAAACCCGGUGAAGGGAGAAACCAAAGCGACCUGAAACAAUAGGUCACAUGAAGGCCAGCCACCUCCAUCUUGUUGUGCGGGAGUUCAGUUAGCAGACAAGAUGGCUGCCAUGCACAUGUUGUCUUUCAUCUUGGUGAGGUCAAAGUGCAACCGAGUGACAGAACAAGGAAGUAGACAUGCAGACAACAGACAUGCAGGCGAACCACCUCCCUUCUGUGUUUGGAUAAAAGACACACAACAAUUUUCAUUACUUACACUAAGCCUUAAAAAGCACUCUGACAGCCUCGCAUAUAUCUACAUUCUAUGUGAUUAGAAUUUCCUUUUUUUGUUGUUUUUUCACUUAUUCUCAGGAGCUGCAUGGUGGUUUCUCCUAGGUUCUGUUGCCCUCUCCUGGCAAGCAGGCCUAUAGGCAGCAGAUAGAGCACAAACACACACUUACAUCGAAAACUAAUUGUAAUAAGAAAGAAAGAAAGAAAGAAAGAAAGAAAGAGAGAGAGAGAGAAAGAAAGAGAGAAAGAGAGAAAGAAAUAAAGAUCCUAGGUUCGACUCGGUUGUGUGGGUGGCAGAAUAAGUGAGGCAGGCAGGCAGGCAGGCAGGCAGGCAGGCAGGCAGGCAGGCAGGCAGAGAGGACCUCUCUGAGUUUGAGGCUACCAAAGCCUACAAAGCAAGUUCCAGGCAGGGAUGCCAGGGAUACACUGAGAGAAACCCUAUCUUGGGGCAAAAGAAAACAAAAGCAGAAAAGGUUCUGGCUUUUAUUUUCAGACAUAUGAUUCUUCUAGUAUUACUGACUAUUGAACUUUGAUCAUGAAGGCACAUUGGAUUUUAUGACAGAGUUUGUGUGUGUGUGUAUAAUAUGUCUGCUAUGAUUGCAGUUACUUGCCAUCUCGUGGGCUUAUGUUUGAUUUCUGUAGUUUUUUAAAAAUUCUUUUAAAUUUUUAUUUUAUAUAUAUUUUUUUUAGUUUAGUUUAGUUUAAUUUAGUUUAGUUUUUCAAGACAGGGUUUCUCUGUAUAGCCCUGACUGUCCUGGAACUCACUUUGCAGACCAGGCUGGCCUCAAACUCAGAAAUCCUCCCAUCUCCGCCUGAAGAGAGCUGGGAUUAAAGACAUGCGCCAUCACUCCCGGCUAUUUUUAAAUUUUUAAAUUAUAUUUAUUUAAUUUAUUUUUGUUUUUUUCAAGAUGUGGUUUCUCUGUGUAACCUUGGCUGUCCUGGAACUCACUGUGUAGACCAGGCUGGCCUUGAACACUUUAAUCUGUCUGCCUCUGCUUCCCUAAUGCUGCGAUUAAAGGCAUGUGCCACCACUGCCCGGACUGAUUUCUUCUUUUUUUUUUUUUUUUUUUUUGGAAAAUACCUUUCUUUCUUUUUCUCUCUCUCUUUCUUCCUUCCUUCCUUCCUUCCUUCCUUCCUUCCUUCCUUUCUUUCUUUCUAUUCUUUUUUUCUUUCUUUUUUCUUUUUUUUUUUUAGAAAUUUGCCUAAGGUUAAAGGUGUGCUCCACAAUUGCCUCAGCUCUGCUCUAAUUCUCUUUAAAAAAAAAACAAACAAAAAACCAAAACAGUAUGUAUGUAUGUAUGUAUAUUUAGAAGAAAUACUAAUCCAUUAAUAACUCUUUUUUCCUAAAAUUCAUGUCAUUCUUGUUCCACAAAGUGAGUUCCAGGACUUACCAGAGAAACCCUGUGUUCAAAUUUCUGUGUUCAAGGUCACCCUGGCUUACAAAGUGAGUUCCAAGUCCGAUAGGGCUACACAGAAAAACCAUAUCUCAGAAAAAAAAAAAGUUCCAAACACACACACACACACACACACACACACACAGGCGCGCGCGCGGCGAUGAGGGGAAGUCGUGCCUAAAAUAAAUAUUUUUCUGGCCAAAGUGAAAGCAAAUCACUAUGAAGAGGUACUCCUAGAAAAAAUAAAUACAAACGGGCUUUUUAAUCAUUCCAGCACUGUUUUAAUUUAACUCUGAAUUUAGUCUUGGAAAAGGGGGCGGGUGUGGGUGAGUGAGGGCGAGCGAGCAGACGGGCGGGCGGGCGGGUGAGUGGCCGGCGGGCGGUGGCAGCGAGCACCAGAAAACAACAAACCCCAAGCGGUAGAGUGUUUUAAAAAUGAGACCUAAAUGUGGUGGAACGGAGGUCGCCGCCACCCUCCUCUUCCACUGCUUAGAUGCUCCCUUCCCCUUACUGUGCUCCCUUCCCCUAACUGUGCCUAACUGUGCCUGUUCCCUCACCCCGCUGAUUCGCCAGCGACGUACUUUGACUUCAAGAACGAUUUUGCCUGUUUUCACCGCUCCCUGUCAUACUUUCGUUUUUGGGUGCCCGAGUCUAGCCCGCGUUCGCUAUGUUCGGGCGGGACGAUGGGGACCGUUUGUGCCACUCGGGAGAAGUGGUGGGUGGGUACGCUGCUCCGUCGUGCGUGCGUGAGUGUCGGAACCUGAGCUCGGGAGACCCUCCGGAGAGACAGAAUGAGUGAGUGAAUGUGGCGGCGCGUGAGCGAUCUGUAUUGGUUUGUAUGGUUGAUCGAGACCAUUGUCGGGCGACACCUAGUGGUGACAAGUUUCGGGAACGCUCCAGGCCUCUCAGGUUGGUGACACAGGAGAGGGAAGUGCCUGUGGUGAGGCGACCAGGGUGACAGGAGGCCGGGCAAGCAGGCGGGAGCGUCUCGGAGAUGGUGUCGUGUUUAAGGACGGUCUCUAACAAGGAGGUCGUACAGGGAGAUGGCCAAAGCAGACCGAGUUGCUGUACGCCCUUUUGGGAAAAAUGCUAGGGUUGGUGGCAACGUUACUAGGUCGACCAGAAGGCUUAAGUCCUACCCCCCCCCCCCCCCUUUUUUUUUUUUUUUUUUUUUUUCCUCCAGAAGCCCUCUCUUGUCCCCGUCACCGGGGGCACCGUACAUCUGAGGCCGAGAGGACGCGAUGGGCCCGGCUUCCAAGCCGGUGUGGCUCGGCCAGCUGGAGCUUCGGGUCUUUUUUUUUUUUUUUUUCCUCCAGAAGCCUUGUCUGUCGCUGUCACCGGGGGCGCUGUACUUCUGAGGCCGAGAGGACGCGAUGGGCCCGGCUUCCAGGCUGAUGUGGCCCGGUCAGCUGGAGCUUUGGAUCUUUUUUUUUUUUUUUUUUUUUUUCCUCCAGAAGCCCUCUCUUGUCCCCGUCACCGGGGGCACCUUACAUCUGAGGGCGAGAGGACGCGAUGGGUCCGGCUUCCAAGCCGAUGUGGCGGGGCCAGCUGGAGCUUCGGGUUUUUUUUUUUUUUCCUCCAGAAGCCCUCUCUUGUCCCCGUCACCGGGGGCGCUGUACUUCUGAGGCCGAGAGGACGUGAUGGGCCCGUGUUCCAGGCCGAUGUCGCCCGGUCAGCUGGAGCUUUGGAUCAUUUUUUUUUUCCCUCCAGAAGCCCUCUCUUGUCCCCGUCACCGGGGGCACCGUACAUCUGAGGCCGAGAGGACACGAUGGGCCUGUCUUCCAAGCCGAUGUGGCCCGGCCAGCUGGAGCUUCGGGUCUUUUUUUUUUUCCUCCAGAAGCCUUGUCUGUCGCUGUCACCCGGGGCGCUGUACUUCUGAGGCCGAGAGGACGCGAUGGGCCCGGCUUCCAAGCCGGUGUGGCUCGGCCAGCUGGAGCUUCGGGUCUUUUUUUUUUUCCUCCAGAAGCCUUGUCUGUCGCUGUCACCCGGGGCGCUUGUACUUCUGAUGCCGAGAGGACGCGAUGGGCCCGUCUUCCAGGCCGAUGUGGCCCGGUCAGCUGGAGCUUUGGAUCUUUUUUUUUUUUUUUUCCUCCAGAAGCCCUCUUGUCCCUGUCACCGGUGGCACGGUACAUCUGAGGCCGAGAGGACAUUAUGGGCCCGGCUUCCAGGCCGAUGUGGCCCGGUCAGCUGGAGCUUUGGAUCUUUUUUUUUUUUUUUUUUUUCUUUUUUCCUCCAGAAGCCCUCUCUGUCCCUGUCACCGGGGGCCCUGUACGUCUGAGGCCGAGGGAAAGCUAUGGGCGCGGUUUUCUUUCAUUGACCUGUCGGUCUUAUCAGUUCUCCCGGUUGUCAGGUCGACCAGUUGUUCCUUUGAGGUCCGGUUCUUUUCGUUAUGGGGUCAUUUUUGGGCCACCUCCACAGGUAUGACUUCCAGGUAUUCUCUGUGGCCUGUCACUUUCCUCCCUGUCUCUUUUAUGCUUGUGAUCUUUUCUAUCUGUUCCUAUUGGACCUGGAGAUAGGU